rnacentral:rRNA from 1 species
UAAUUGAAGAGUUUGAUCAUGGCUCAGAUUGAACGCUGGCGGCAGGCCUAACACAUGCAAGUCGAGCGGUAACAUUUCAAAAGCUUGCUUUUGAAGAUGACGAGCGGCGGACGGGUGAGUAAUGCCUAGGAAAUUGCCCUGAUGUGGGGGAUAACCAUUGGAAACGAUGGCUAAUACCGCAUGAUGCCUACGGGCCAAAGAGGGGGACCUUCGGGCCUCUCGCGUCAGGAUAUGCCUAGGUGGGAUUAGCUAGUUGGUGAGGUAAUGGCUCACCAAGGCGACGAUCCCUAGCUGGUCUGAGAGGAUGAUCAGCCACACUGGAACUGAGACACGGUCCAGACUCCUACGGGAGGCAGCAGUGGGGAAUAUUGCACAAUGGGCGCAAGCCUGAUGCAGCCAUGCCGCGUGUAUGAAGAAGGCCUUCGGGUUGUAAAGUACUUUCAGUCGUGAGGAAGGUGGUGUUGUUAAUAGCAGCAUCAUUUGACGUUAGCGACAGAAGAAGCACCGGCUAACUCCGUGCCAGCAGCCGCGGUAAUACGGAGGGUGCGAGCGUUAAUCGGAAUUACUGGGCGUAAAGCGCAUGCAGGUGGUUCGUUAAGUCAGAUGUGAAAGCCCGGGGCUCAACCUCGGAACUGCAUUUGAAACUGGCGGACUAGAGUACUGUAGAGGGGGGUAGAAUUUCAGGUGUAGCGU